UGCAGUCGAGCGGAACGAUGGGAGCUUGCUCCCAGGCGUCGAGCGGCGGACGGGUGAGUAAUGCAUAGGAAUCUGCCCGGUAGUGGGGGAUAACCUGGGGAAACUCAGGCUAAUACCGCAUACGUCCUACGGGAGAAAGCAGGGGAUCUUCGGACCUUGCGCUAUCGGAUGAGCCUAUGUCGGAUUAGCUAGUUGGUGAGGUAACGGCUCACCAAGGCCGCGAUCCGUAGCUGGUCUGAGAGGAUGAUCAGCCACAUCGGGACUGAGACACGGCCCGAACUCCUACGGGAGGCAGCAGUGGGGAAUAUUGGACAAUGGGCGAAAGCCUGAUCCAGCCAUGCCGCGUGUGUGAAGAAGGCCCUCGGGUUGUAAAGCACUUUCAGUGAGGAAGAACGCUUGUGGGUUAAUACCCCGCAAGAAGGACAUCACUCACAGAAGAAGCACCGGCUAACUCCGUGCCAGCAGCCGCGGUAAUACGGAGGGUGCGAGCGUUAAUCGGAAUUACUGGGCGUAAAGCGCGCGUAGGCGGCUUGAUAAGCCGGUUGUGAAAGCCCCGGGCUCAACCUGGGAACGGCAUCCGGAACUGUCAGGCUAGAGUGCAGGAGAGGAAGGUAGAAUUCCCGGUGUAGCGGUGAAAUGCGUAGAGAUCGGGAGGAAUACCAGUGGCGAAGGCGGCCUUCUGGACUGACACUGACGCUGAGGUGCGAAAGCGUGGGUAGCAAACAGGAUUAGAUACCCUGGUAGUCCACGCCGUAAACGAUGUCGACUAGCCGUUGGGGUCCUCGAGACCUUUGUGGCGCAGUUAACGCGAUAAGUCGACCGCCUGGGGAGUACGGCCGCAAGGUUAAAACUCAAAUGAAUUGACGGGGGCCCGCACAAGCGGUGGAGCAUGUGGUUUAAUUCGAUGCAACGCGAAGAACCUUACCUACCCUUGACAUCGAGCGAACUUUCCAGAGAUGGAUUGGUGCCUUCGGGAACGCUCAGACAGGUGCUGCAUGGCUGUCGUCAGCUCGUGUUGUGAAAUGUUGGGUUAAGUCCCGUAACGAGCGCAACC
rnacentral:rRNA from 1 species